UCCCUUUUUAAUUGUUAGCGACUAACCUGCGCGAAACAAUAAUAUAUUCUCAAUCUCUUGCCGUGGUCUCUAAAAUAUCCGAACUCGUUGACCUCCAAUGUCUCUUCUGUUCAAUGGCAGUUGGGAGCCCGUAAGAAUGCAUAAUGGAAUUAUUAUGAGACGAAUAUAUUUUGUGUCCGCCUGUGAGAUGGUCAUCGUCUAAAGACAUCAAAAUAGGAAGUGUUUCACUAAACACUGCUAGAAGACACUGGUUCACUUGUUCAAUUCUAACUCUGGGCAUAAUUGGAAGAAGCAGUAAUUAAAAAAUCGAUAGGAUGCUCUCCGCCCGAAACACAAGAGAUUUGAGGAGUUGCUGAACUCCAGUGGCAUUGCUUACGACCCAUCAACCGACAGAAUUGAAGCAACGAAGGAGUGGUAGACUAAAAAGAUUGAGGUACCAUCGUUUUGUGAUUCAUCGCUCGUUUCCAGGCUUGUGUAUGAGAUUUGAAUAUCCUGUGGUUGUUUCAUUGAGUUCAUUACGCAUGAUUUUCUGUUAAAUGUCAUAGAUGUUGGUCAUUUUGAUUUUGGAUAAACACAUUUGCUUUGUGAGUGACUCGAGUUAGAUGUGUCUAUGGUGUAAUGAGGACGAUUUUAAGAAAGUAAUUUUCAUAUCACCAAUCUUGUGUUCAUGUAUUCGCCCAUUUGCUGAGAUUUCAUUUUUUCAUUAGUUCCACCAAGCAGGAAUUAUACCGAGCUAAACCCUAAGACAUUUUGUUAAUGCAAUUUUUUCUUCAGAAAUUACGAUAAAAUUCAUUUACACUUCCAUCUAUGCAUUUCAUGUAUGCGUCCGUGUAACAUAUGUGAUAGAACUAUCCGUUUGUACUGGCACAAGAGAACAAGGCCUACAAAGAGUUUAAGGACAAAGACUGCCGUCAGGUGUAUGGCUAUAAGGCUCUGUUCAGGGACGCAUUCAACAAUGAUAGGUAAGCAAUCACACCAACAAAGCUCCGUCGAACUGGGUUCGCAAUGUUCGAAGACAGUGGACAUGAAAACCACUAUGAUGAGGUUCCAAUUGAUGUCGAUAGCAGCGGAUCAAGUGACGAGCCUGACAUACCAAAUGGGGCUGUAGUAAGCAUGGAUGUCCCGCCUGCAUAGCGGGCACAAGCAAAAGUCUGAGUGUAACACCCCAAAUUUUCAUAAACUUUGAAAUGUCACAAAAAAAACUUACUUUUGUUUGUUUUAAAUACGAAAUGAUAAAAAUGGAUUUCUCUAAAAAUAAACUGUUAAAAUAUCCAUAAAUUUAAACUAAGGACGAAAAAUUGUGUCUUUUGAAAAAAUAAACAUAGUCAACUAACUAAUUAAAUAACAUGUCUUCAAAUAAAUUAAACUAACUAAUGAAUUUAAAGACAACAAAAAAAUAAAAAAGUAAAUUUUUUUGUAAUACUUUUCCCUUUCCAAUCCUUCUGGCAGGCAGCAUCACCAUCACACCACAGUUCUAAUCGAUCCAAACUAACCUGAAAAGUUAUUGUAAGAUUGACUAUUUAAAAUACUCAGUAAGAUACAUGUAGUUUUCAUACACAAUUAUAUAACAAAUAAAAUCUACACUUUAAACUUUGGUCUUAUGGAGUAUAUCCGUGACCAAACGACACACCCAUCUCAGAUCCUUUUAUAAUUCCGUAAGAUUUCAUCUCUCUUUUUAUAGAAGCCAGAGGUCUACUGGCAAUUUAUACAUAUUUAAUUGAAUAUAAAAGCACAAGGAAACGAAAACACUUGCACAAGAAUAUCUUACCUCGAUCGAUUAAAAAAUACGACUGCAAGUUUUAGAUAAUGGUGCGUGUAAUGCUUUGAAAUAAUUUCUAAUGGAUGAAAGGCUUCUCGUUUUUCUGAUAAUUUGGGACGGUUUCUAUUGGAGACAAUUAGUUGUGAAAUCUAACUAAUUUAAUGCCUUAUUUAUAGUGUGACUAGUUGAUGGACCCUAAUUAAUGAAGAAUUAGUUUUGAAGUUUAUCAUAAUCAAACUGAUUUUGGAUUAACUAAAAA
rnacentral:lncRNA from 1 species